CAUAUUCUUACUAAAUAAAUAAAUAAAAUUUUUAAAAAGCUGUUGUUUCUAGCCAGCUCUAUCCCUUCCCCUAGACAUCCACCAUCAUAUGCUUCUGACUUUCAUCAUGAGACCAGUCAUAGCAAAUUUUGGACAUUGGUGCAGGUCAUGCAUCUUCUCAGCUGUGGCCUGUUUGUUUCCCAAGAGCACCAUUUCCUGAAGAAUGUUCCUUCACCACAAAUUCCUCAACACCACAAAGGAUUCUGCCACCCACUAUGAUGGGGAAACACUGAUGGUGAGGGGCUGAAUUCCGUCUCCUCCAAAAUGCUUAUUUUGAGGCCCUAACCUCCAGUACCUCAGGAUGUGACUGCAUUUAGAGACCGGGGCUCUUAAGAGGUGAUUCAGUUAAAAUGAAGCCUUUACAAUGGGCCCUAAUCCAAUCUGACUGGUGUCCUUAUAAGAAGUCAUUUGGAUAUGCAGAGAGACACCACCGAGCUACUCACACAGAGGAAAGACCAUGUGAAGACAGACACAGCAAGAAGGUCACCAUCUGAAGGCCAAGGAGAAAGGCCUUGAAAGAAACCAACCCUGAUAACAACUUGAUCUUGGACUUCCAGCCUACAUACUGUGAGAAAAUAAAUCUCUGUUGGUGUAGCCACCUGGUCUGUGGUUGGUUUGGUUAUGGCAGCCAAAGUAGACUAAUAUACUGGCCAUUCAUCCCUUAAAGAGUUACCACAUACACUGAUGAGGUAAAGGCUCUGAGAGGUCCUGCCGUAAGGAUGACUAUUUACCUUUAAACCGCAUUUCCCAAACUUCCGUAUUUAUUCCCUCCACACAACUGCCAUUAUCAAGACUGAUGGCAGAGAAAAGGCCAUCUGGAUAUCAGUAAAAAUUAUGUUCUUGCUCUUCAGAAAUAAAGAGGUAGAGAAAGAGAAAGAGCCCCUUAAUUUCUUCACCUGUAAAAGAACAGGCAGGACCACUGAGGCAAGAAGCCUGGGGGGAUGGACUAGAGUAACAAGGAGCAGAGAUGGAAAGUGAAUGAAUUCCAGAGGUUUGCUGGUAUCUGGCUGCAGAUCAGAGCUGCAGUUGGGGAGAGAGUAGAGUUUCUGGUUUCAAGAAAUGGAGGAUGAUGCCCCUGGAGGAUGAGUAGGAAGGGGUCUUAUUCAUUUCUGAGUCCUCUGCCCCCAGCAUGGGAAGAGCCUGGCUCAGGGUCAAGGCAGUAUCUGCUGAACGAACAAGAGAAGGAACAGAACAGCUGUGGUUUCAGCAGCGUCCGGAGAUAAUAGGCUCACGGGGCUGCUGAGAUUUGAUUCAUAAUCCUUAUGCAGGGAGGUUAGUUCGUGCUAUACCUGUUCGUUCUGACCCCCAGUCACAUAAUUAACAGCCAAGGCGACAGCAGGCUCUAUAAUAGUGUUUGUGGGGAGAUCAUAGAAAUUGAAAUAAUUCACUCAGGAGAUCAAGGUGUUACAGCUCUUGCAUAGUCACAGACCUCAGGCCUUGAGAAGGUAUUCAAAACUUAGCCUGGAGCCCUGGGCCUCUGACUCCCCUUCCAGUGCUCUUUCCCUGCACCCUCGGGCAGGGGCAGAGGCUGCUGUGGAGGCAGAGAGCUACACACAGCACAGGACUCUGUGAUGAAUGGGGUUUGUCACCUACUCCCAGCUUUGCCAUCAUCCUACCACCUCCGAAUAAUCACCAUCCUCUUCUUAGGCUCCAAAUAAAUGCCAGGGAUGGGCAGAAAAAAAGAGGAGA
ensembl:lncRNA